rnacentral:rRNA from 2 species
AACGGAUAUCUCGGCUCUCGCAUCGAUGAAGAACGUAGCGAAAUGCGAUACCUGGUGUGAAUUGCAGAAUCCCGCGAACCAUCGAGUCUUUGAACGCAAGUUGCGCCCGAGGCCUCUUGGCCGAGGGCACGCCUGCCUGGGCGUCACGCCAAACACGCUCCCACCCCACUAACCUGGGGCGGGACGCGGCAUGUGGCUCCUCGUCUCGCAAGGGGCGGUGGGCCGAAGAUCCGGCUGCCGGCGUAUCGUGCCGGACACAGCGCGUGG